rnacentral:tRNA from 1 species
GCGGCUGUGGCGAAAUUGGCAUACGCGCCAGAUUUAGGUUCUGGUGGGAAACCGUGCAGGUUCAAGUCCUGUCAGCCGUA